rnacentral:rRNA from 1 species
GACAGAGGGGGCAAGCGUUGCUCGGAAUCACUGGGCGUAAAGGGCGCGUAGGCGGGAUGGCAAGUCGGUCGUGAAAGCCUUCGGCUCAACCGAAGAACGUCGGCCGAUACUGCCGUUCUUGAGGGAUGCAGAGGAGACUGGAAUUCCCGGUGUAGCGGUGAAAUGUGUAGAGAUCGGGAGGAACACCGGUGGCGAAGGCGGCUCACUGGUCCGGUACUGACGCUGAGGUGCGAAAGCGUGGGGGAGCAAACAGGG